CUUCAUCCACACGAAUGUACUUGUACGCGUGCUCUAAAAGUUCAGCAUAGGUCUGAGAGAGAGUCUUGUCUAGAGAGUAGGUGAAUCUAGAUCCUCUCAGACCCCUCUUCAUAGCCGAUAUGGCCAUGUCUUCAUUAAGAUCCCUGACCUCAAGUGUGGCCACAUUAAAAUGAGCCACAAAAUCUCUCAACGUCUCUGUCUCACCCUGCUU
rnacentral:lncRNA from 1 species